GCACUGCAUGAACGUCGUUUGUCGCUUGAACAAGAUGUGUCAAGAUUACAAGAACAGCUGCAAGCCGAAAGAGAUCUCCGAGCAGCACUGGAGGUUGGUUUGAGCAUGUCCUCUGGACAAUUCAGCUCACAUGGUGUGGAUUCGAAAACAAGGGCUGAGCUUGAGGAAAUUGCUCUUGCUGAGGCUGAUGUGGCCAGGCUGAAGCAGAA